rnacentral:rRNA from 1 species
GCCUUGGGCCAUAUCCCUGAGUGCACCAGAUCUCCACUGGUCUUGGAAGCUAAGCAGGGUCGGACCUGGUUAGAACUUGGAUGGGAGACUGCAGAAGCUCCCCGCCA